GCCAGCAGCCAUAUCACCCUGCAACUCACAACUGGCAACCCACUGAAGCUAAGCAGGUGUGAGCCUGGUCAGUACCUGGAUAGGAGACCUCCUGGGAAAAACUAAGGUUGCUGUUGGAA
ensembl:rRNA 5S_rRNA 5S ribosomal RNA